CCCUGCACCCCUUCCCACCCGCAGUUCAGCGGCUCUGGGGAGUCCAGGGCAGCUGGCUCUGCGAGUGCCUGCCCGACGCCCGCCGGUGCCUGUGCGCGCGCCCCUUCCUGCGCCCGCUGGUUCCUGCGCCCUGUUCUCCCAAGCUCCCUACUGCGUCCAGCUCCCACUCGCGUCCCUGCCCCUCUCCUGAGGCCCCCACUCUCUCCUGCGCUCCGAUCCCUUCUGUGCCCUUUCUGCCUCCUGCGUUCGGCUCCCUCCUGCGCCCCCCGCUCCCCUGGCAUCCCCCCAGUGCCCAGAUUUCCUGCGGAGCGGAGCGAGCGCUCCCUUUAGCGGGGAGGGAACCUCGGUGUUCUCCCAGCGCCAGGACAGCUUGGACAGUCUGUCCGCUGGGGCUGGAGGAGUUUGGCUAAGCGAUUGUUUCUCGGAUUGGGCAGCCUAGCAGAGUGUGUGUAAAACCCUUUCCUGGUCAAGGAGGGGACCCAGCCAGCCUGCGUCCUGCCAGCUCAGGGGAUCGGAAGCGGGUGUCAGUGGUUAGAGGAAACUUUCCAGCAGCGCGCCUUGCUAAAAGAGCAAACAACGCAUCUGUCAGGAACGCUCUCGGGGCGCUAUUCUUGCAAGGAGUUUCUGUUGUACCGGUGCAGUAGGUGCAGAAAGGAAGCUAAGGUUGGUGCAUCUGACAGCUAGUGCUGAGGACCAGUUGGACACUCCCCAGUCUCAGCUAAUGAAUAUCUAUGCUAGACCUCAGAAAGUCAACUACCUACAUGCCCUGCCUAAAAAAUUUACCCGAAGAAGAAGAAAUUGAAUUGACAGAUGAAGCAAAACAAAUAAUUUAAGAAUGAGAAGACACAGUAAAAGUGUAUGGGUGUUGAACUAUGACAUCAGCUAAAUCUGAAGGGAGUUCCUGGGAAAGAUGCAUGCCUUUAGAAGCGGAAAUUCUUGGCAAUAAGAAAAUUAAAACUACCCAACACAGACCAUGCCCCGCCCAAGCAACGAUCUCAGCUUCAAAGGAUUCAGCAAGUGUCCAGACCCUGCUGCUUGGGGCUGCACAAGAGCCAGCCAGUCCCAGGAGAGCUGGCGGGGCUGCCAAGGCGGCUGCUCGCUGCACUCCCUCUCUCUGGGCCUGGGCUGCAUUGAUGGCAGCUACACGCAGAGCUGCCCCUGCUGGUUUGGAUUAGGGGUAACAAGGAAGGCCAGGGAGGCCUCAAUGUCCUUGGAUUGUGCAAAUAAGGAAGCCUGGAAGCCAGGACCGAGGAAACUGGGAGAGGCCUGGAGAACCCCAUGCCCAAGAGGAGAGGCCACAGGGGCAGAGGGCCUUGCCCAAGUCACAUAACUAGAUAACAGCUAAGCUGAGGAUUGAAUGUGCCUUUGACUGGCAGCUGAGCCGUUUCCUUCUAAUUCAUGCGGCACCUACAUGUACAAGUACAGCCCGUUCUGUGAUUGGCUGCUGAAAUGUCCCUGUAUAUUUGUGGGUAUCGAGAAUGGGGGCUUAGAGAGGGAGGGCUGUUCACUGGCAGUCCCACCCUAGGUCACCACCCAGGCCAGCAUGGGGUGCUGCUCACAGCCACCAAAGCAAUACUGAAUCCCUGACUUGCAACUUCAUCAGUCAAUACAUAUUUCUUGUGCCCUUUGUGUGUGCCAGGCACUGUUUCAGACACUGGGGAUAUAGCAUGGGCAGAGCCCCUGCCCUUGCUUUCCCCCUAGUGAGGGGAACACAUAAUAAAAUAAGUAAAUUACAUAGUAGGUUAGAAGGUGACAAGCUGGGAAGGGGGGUAAGGAGUGCAGAGAAGCCGGGCGGGUGCCUCUUAAAUAGCGUGGUUAGGAAAGGCUUCACCGAGAAGGUGACAUGUGAGCACAGUCUUCCUAGGUAUGGAAUGUUUAAGCAAACUCCUUACCCUUCUGAUUGCUUAUAAAAUAACGGCAGUAAUAAGAAUAAGAAUAAUGGCAGAUAAAUCUAUGUAGAGUCCUUACUCUGCACCCCUCAAAGUUCUUUCUAUGCGUGGAACUCACUUAAUCCCCAUAACCCCAGGAGACAGGUGCUGUCAUUAACCCAAUUUACAGACUAGAAAACAGAGGCAGCGUAGAAAACAAGUGAAGUGAGUUUGCCUGAGGCCACACUGUUAAUAGCGCAGGUGAGCAGCUUGACUCCAGAGCCCUCCCCCUUCUUCAUCAGCCUUAAAAGCGCAGCUGGUCUUGAACCGAGAUCUCUUAGGUCCUUCCCAGCUCCAGUGAGGAAGGUCAAGAGGGAGCAUUUCCAAGCUGUGGCUCAGGAUUCAUCUGGGAUAGGCUGCUCUUGGUACUUCCGGUUAUCUAUCUCCAAAAUCAAGAGACUAAAUGCUCUUCAGUUGUCUACUGUUUCUGAAGCCAUCCUGCUGGACUUCGCAGAGGAUACAAAGAUGUGGCAUUCGUCCUGAGAAGCCGGUCCUAAGAAACAGAUCUUCGCUUUGGGCAGAAAGAAGCCAGCCCAUUAAAAGUUAGUUACCUCGCCUCCUGGAUGCCCCUCACCUUGGCCAGGUGGGAGAGCCUCAUGCUCAGCGAAGAGAACGCACUGAUGUGGUUGAGCGGGAAGAGCCUGGCGGACAGAGCGC